rnacentral:rRNA from 1 species
CCUACGGGGUGCAGCAGUGAGGAAUAUUGGUCAAUGGACGCACGUCUGAACCAGCCAAGUAGCGUGCAGGAUGACGGCCCUCCGGGUUGUACACUGCUUUUAGUUGGGAAUAAAAGGGGGCUCGUGAGCCCCGUAUUGUAUGUACCAUCAGAAAAAGGACCGGCUAAUUCCGUGCCAGCAGCCGCGGUAAUACGGAAGGUCCGGGCGUUAUCCGGAUUUAUUGGGUUUAAAGGGAUCGUAGGCCGGCUUUUAAGUCAGCUGUGAAAGGCCGCGGCUCAACCGUGGACUUGCAGUUGAAACUGGAGGCCUUGAGUGCACACAGGGAUGCCGGAAUUCAUGGUGUAGCGGUGAAAUGAUUAGAUACCAUGAAGAACUCCGAGCGCGAAGGCAAGUGUCUGGGGUGCAACGGACGCUGAGGCUCGAAAGUGCGGGUAUCAAACAGGAUUAGAGACCCUGGUAGUC